GGCAACUUCUAGAGAAUGAGAAGAAAUUAUACCUACCUAUCCAGGGCUUAGAAAUUUUCAAAGGAUAUGAUUAUUACAUAAAAAAUGGAAACACUGGUUGGCUUGAUCAAGGAUUUCUAAAAAUUAUGUAUGUGAUAUACCACGACACAAACCGUAUUCAGGCUAUUUGAUCAGAUACUCACAGAAUGAUUGUAAGAAGGUUCCAAUAUCACAGGUAGAAGAACAAGGUGUACUUGCCAUGAGUUGCCACCUGUCCUGUUAUAUGUCGGGAUAUCUGUGACAGCUGUCACUGUUACCAGAAGCUUCUGUUCUUGAAACUACUACAUCUCACUUCGAACAUGAUAUACAACACAACUGACAGCUCAGUAUUUAGGCUGGCAAGAAAGAGGACAUAAAUAUGAGUGCAAUGCCAUUGAAAACGUUGGCCCCAUUUUCAAAGUUUAUUCUAAAACGCCCCCAUCUGCAACACAAUAAUAACACAUCUAGGCUUGGAAAUCAGUGGAAAUAUGAAAUAUGAAAGGAUAAAUCCAAAGGCCUCAAAAAUAUUUGCAGCCAAACACUUACUUCCAUAACACACACAAUGUACACUUUAAUUUUUAACCUGAAUUUUAAAAG